UGGGGAAUUUUGGACAAUGGGCGCAAGCCUGAUCCAGCAAUGCCGCGUGCAGGAUGAAGGCCUUCGGGUUGUAAACUGCUUUUGUACGGAACGAAAAGACUCUCUCGAAUAAAGAGGGUUGAUGACGGUACCGUAAGAAUAAGCACCGGCUAACUACGUGCCAGCAGCCGCGGUAAUACGUAGGGUGCGAGCGUUAAUCGGAAUUACUGGGCGUAAAGCGUGCACAGGCGGUUAUGUAAGACAGAGGUGAAAUCCCCGGGCUCAACCUGGGAACUGCCUUUGUGACUGCAUAGCUAGAGUACGGUAGAGGGGGAUGGAAUUCCGCGUGUAGCAGUGAAAUGCGUAGAUAUGCGGAGGAACACCGAUGGCGAAGGCAAUCCCCUGGACCUGUACUGACGCUCAUGCACGAAAGCGUGGGGAGCAAACAG
rnacentral:rRNA from 1 species